rnacentral:rRNA from 1 species
UGAGCCCUACGGGGCGCAGCAGUAGGGAAUCUUCCACAAUGGGCGAAAGCCUGAUGGAGCAACGCCGCGUGGGUGAAGAAGGUCUUCGGAUCGUACAACCCUGUUGUUAGAGAAGAAAGUGCGUGUGAGUAACUGUUCACGUUUCGACGGUAUCUAACCAGAAAGCCACGGCUAACUACGUGCCAGCAGCUGCGGUAAUACGUAGGUGGCAAGCGUUAUCCGGAUUUAUUGGUCGUAAAGGGUAUGCAGUC